UAUGUAGGGUGCAAGCGUUGUCCGGAAUUAUUGGGCGUAAAGAGCUCGUAGGCGGUCUGUCGCGUCGGCUGUGAAAACUCGGGGCUCAACCCCGAGCCUGCAGUCGAUACGGGCAGACUAGAGUGCGGUAGGGGAGACUGGAAUUCCUGGUGUAGCGGUGAAAUGCGCAGAUAUCAGGAGGAACACCAAUGGCGAAGGCAGCUCGCUGGGACGGUACUGACGCUGAGACGCGAAAGCGUGGGGAGCAAACAGG
rnacentral:rRNA from 1 species